rnacentral:rRNA from 1 species
AACCUUUACACUGCACGACAGUGCGAUAAGGGAAUCCCAAGUGCGUAGGCAUAGAGCCUACGCUUUUGUCCGCCGUAGGGAGGUGGACGAAUAAGGGCUGGGCAAGACCGGUGCCAGCCGCCGCGGUAAUACCGGCAGCCCGAGUGAUGGCCGAUCUUAUUGGGCCUAAAGCGUCCGUAGCUGGCCGCACAAGUCCAUCAGAAAAUCCACCCGCUCAACGGGUGGGCGUCCGGUGGAAACUGUGUGGCUUAGGACCGGAAGGCGCGACGGGUACGUCCGGGGUAGGAGUGAAAUCCCGUAAUCCUGGACGGACCGCCGAUGGCGAAAGCACGUCGCGAGAACGGAUCCGACAGUGAGGGACGAAAGCUAGGGUCUCGAACCGGAUUAGAUACCCGGGUAGUCCUAGCCGUAAACAAUGCCUGCUAGGUGUGGCUCCCACUACGAGUGGGUGCUGUGCCGUAGGGAAGCCGCUAAGCAGGCCGCCUGGGAAGUACGUCCGCAAGGAUGAAACUUAA